rnacentral:lncRNA from 1 species
UUCAGAUCCACUUCUCUUAAUUGACUGACAUAAACAUCUAUUGCUCCAUGAAGCGUAGAAGCUUUUAGACUUCCAUCUGAUGAAUCUACUGUGAUAUUCCCUGUUUUUGUCUCAAGGCUGGUGUUACCAUGAAUACUUCCCAGCAGAAUAUCACCAGUUUCUGAAGAGAGAGACGAAGAUUCUGCAUAGAGAUACUUAGUUUUCAGGAGCCCAUAUUCUGUGGAUAUGUUGAUAGAUGUCCCCUGCAGCUUCUCUAUAUUCACACUACCCUUCUCUGUUGCAUGAAUAUCUGUAUUUCCAUAAAGCGUUCCAAGACCAAUCACUUUGCCACCAUCUGUUCGUAUAUCGAUUUUAUGGCUCUUUAUUGACUGCAAGACACUAGUCCCCUUCUCAGUUUCUAUUUUGCAGUUAUCACAUUCCAUUUUCUGAACCUUCACACAGCCAGUUCCUGAUGUUUUGAUAUCC